rnacentral:rRNA from 1 species
UAGGGAAUCUUCGGCAAUGGGGGCGAAACCCUGACCGAGCAACGCCGCGUGAGUGAAGAAGGUUUUCGGAUCGUAAAGCUCUGUUGUAAGAGAAGAACGUGUGUGAGAGUGGAAAGUUCACACAGUGACGGUAACUUACCAGAAAGGGACGGCUAACUACGUGCCCG